AUUAAGGCAAUUGGAUUUAGAACAUUUAAAGUUAUAGACAUGUGUACUCCCCUUAGUAUGGUGCAAGCUUGGAUACCCAUAAAUUCAGAUGAGUGUAGGCUACAGGAGUGAGGUGUACCAGUAAUACAUAAACAUGUAAUAUAACGAGUGAUGACUAGAUUUUUUUACACUAUUUACGUUAUCACCCACCUAAAUUUUAGCUUACUAAAUAUGUCAUCACCCUUUUUAAUAAUUAUGUAUGUAAAACACAGUGAUUCCCAAUUCCCGGACCCAUCCACCCCCAAUCCAUCAUCAACAGUAAUCCCCAAACCACCCAUAACCAAAUACUAAGAAUCAAAUUCCAGCCAAACCACCUCUUCAUCACCGUACAAUACUUUAAUCCCUUUUUCACACAGAGAGGGAGAUUUGCCAUGUCAACCUUGAAGGAGAUUUCUGAAAUUUCUGGCAUGGAAGAAUUAACGAGACACCAUCCCUUGCAACAACAACUGGUACGGCGUCAAAUGUGACUCCGCCACGGCGGUCGACCUCUCCGACACCAACAUCGCUAGCCCAUUCAUUGCGUCGAUCCUCUGCCGCCUCCCUAACCUCACCUCCAUCAACCAAACGUUCCAGAGCAUCGAGGUCCUGUCCUUACUCUCAAACCUUCUAAAAGGUACCAUUCCUCCUUCACUCGGAUCUUAACCACCUUGAAAAUGCUGAAUCUCUCUUACAACCCGUUUUAUCUGGGUCGGAUUCCACCGCCGCGGUGGCAGUGGCGAUGCUGAGGCCUGAGUGGCUUCUUAGAUCUGUUUCUGCAAUUUUUUGUAACAUUCUAACCCUCCGCCGCCGCGAUGGUUGGACGGAGAUGAAGACGUCCGGAGGUUGGUCGGUAGCCGGAGUUCGAAGGGAGGUGCUAGGAGGAGAAGAGAGUGGAAGAGGUGUGCAAUAAGGUUCUGGGAGAAAAUGCCCCUUAAUAUAUUAUUACAUGUGGGACAUGUUUUUGUUUCAGCACUCUCUCUCAAGUCAAACUGGAUUGGUCGAGUUAGGCUUGUCUACUCAAGCAGAAUAUCAGAUGUCAUUUGUGAGUGAGAUUGUAUUCACUCUAUCUUAACUUGAGUUUCAUAAAUCCAUGAUUUGAUUUUAGUUGAUAGUUUUUUUUUUGAACUCAUUUUAUUUUUCUCUGUCUUCUUUUCAUUUCUCUUCUUUCUUAGGCUUUUUUCUAUCUUGUUGUGAGGUUAUUUCGGCUUUGAUACCGCUUAAUAGGUUGUAAAAGCGCAAAGCCAAAAUAGUUGUAAUGUUGUAUAUAGGUGUGGGAGAGUAUUGGGCAAUGAUGGAUAAUUGGAUAUGGCCCAAAAACCUUACGAUAA